rnacentral:rRNA from 1 species
AACGUACGCUGGCGGCACGCCUAACACAUGCAAGUCGAACGAAGUAGCAAUACUUAGUGGCAGACGGGUGAGUAACAUGUAGGUAUCUGCCCUUUGGCCUGGAAUAACACGAGGAAACUUGUGCUAAUACCGGAUAAGUCUUUACGGAGAAAGCUUUAUGCACCAUUGGAUGAGCCUGCACUUGAUUAGUUUGUUGGUGGGGUAAUGGCCUACCAAGACUGUGAUCAAUAGCUGAUUUGAGAGGAUGAUCAGCCACAUUGGGACUGAGACACGGCCCAAACUCCUACGGGAGGCAGCAGUGGGGAAUCUUGCACAAUGGAGGAAACUCUGAUGCAGCGAUGCCGCGUGAGUGAAGAAGGCCUUUGGGUUGUAAAGCUCUUUCGUCGGGGAAGAAAAUGACUGUACCCGAAUAAGAAGGUCCGGCUAACUUCGUGCCAGCAGCCACGGUAAUACGAAGGGACCUAGCGUAGUUCGGAAUUACUGGGCUUAAAGAGUUCGUAGGUGGUUGAAAAAGUUGGUGGUGAAAUCCCAGAGCUUAACUCUGGAACUGCCAUCAAAACUUUUCAGCUAGAGUAUGAUAGAGGAAAGCAGAAUUUCUAGUGUAGAGGUGAAAUUCGUAGAUAUUAGAAAGAAUACCAAUUGCGAAGGCAGCUUUCUGGAUCAUUACUGACACUGAGGAACGAAAGCAUGGGUAGCGAAGAGGAUUAGAUACCCUCGUAGUCCAUGCCGUAAACGAUGUGUGUUAGACGUUGGAAAUUUAUUUUCAGUGUCGUAGCGAAAGCGAUAAACACACCGCCUGGGGAGUACGACCGCAAGGUUA